rnacentral:rRNA from 1 species
GCCUACGGGAGGCAGCAGUAGGGAAUAUUGCACAAUGGAGGAAACUCUGAUGCAGCGACGCCGCGUGAGUGAUGAAGGCCUUCGGGUCGUAAAGCUCUGUCGCAGGGGAAUAACACAAUGAAUGUACCCUGUAAGAAAGGAUCGGCUAACUUCGUGCCAGCAGCCGCGGUAAGACGAGGGAUCCUAGCGUUGUUCGGAAUCAUUGGGCGUAAAGCGGGUGUAGGUGGCUUUGUAAGUCAGGUGUGAAAGCCUAGGGCUCAACCCUAGAAGUGCAUUUGAUACUGCGAAGCUUGAGUGCUAGAGAGGUUACUAGAAUUGUUGGUGUAGUGGUGAAAUACGUAGAUAUCAACAGGAAUACCGGUGGCGAAGGCGGGUAACUGGCUAGACACUGACACUCAGACCCGAAAGCGUGGGGAUCAAACAGGAUUAGAUACCCUAGUAGUCGAC